CGACGCUACACACAUUAGGAAAAGGAGAAGAAGAAGAACACGAAGAAGCCCCGCCCCCUCUGCAGGUAAUUGACAGGGGAUGAGUGGAGCCUCAGAGGAGAGCAGCUUCUGGAGCCAGACUGGAGCCAGCUAAAUUAAGUUCUUUGGAGUCCGACGCUUCCGCGGCGCCCUUGAACGCCCCAUGUAGAGCGGUCCGACAGCGACACCCGGAGGCGGGUCGGUGAACUGCAGCUGCAGGUUCCAGAAGUCCAGGAGCUUUCUCUGCUGCGAGCGUCCUCCUUGUCUCUUCCGGCUCGAAGGCGGCAGGAUGAUAUAAUCCAGACCGGAUCAGACCGGUUCCUGCUUUCUCCCCGUCUCUCACAGUGUGGCUCUACCAGCCCCCGCU